rnacentral:rRNA from 1 species
CAGCAGCCGCCGCGGGAAUACGGAGGGGGCUAGCGUUGUUCGGAAUUACUGGGCGUAAGGCGUACGUAGGCGGCUUUGUAAGUUAGAGGUGAAAGCCUGGAGCUCAACUCCAGAAUUGCCUUUAAGACUGCAUCGCUUGAACGUCGGAGAGGUGAGUGGAAUUCCGAGUGUAGAGGUGAAAUUCGUAGAUAUUCGGAAGAACACCAGUGGCGAAGGCGGCUCACUGGACGACUGUUGACGCUGAGGUACGAAAGCGUGGGGAGCAAACAGGAUUAGAUACCCCGGUAGUCCCUGUCUCUUAUAC